rnacentral:rRNA from 1 species
AGAGUUUGAUCAUGGCUCAGGAUGAACGCUAGCUACAGGCUUAACACAUGCAAGUCGAGGGGCAGCAUCAUCAAAGCUUGCUUUGAUGGAUGGCGACCGGCGCACGGGUGAGUAACACGUAUCCAACCUGCCGACAACACUGGGAUAGCCUUUCGAAAGAAAGAUUAAUACCGGAUGGCAUAGUUUUCCCGCAUGGGAUAAUUAUUAAAGAAUUUCGGUUGUCGAUGGGGAUGCGUUCCAUUAGGCAGUUGGCGGGGUAACGGCCCACCAAACCUACGAUGGAUAGGGGUUCUGAGAGGAAGGUCCCCCACAUUGGAACUGAGACACGGUCCAAACUCCUACGGGAGGCAGCAGUGAGGAAUAUUGGUCAAUGGACGAGAGUCUGAACCAGCCAAGUAGCGUGAAGGAUGACUGCCCUAUGGGUUGUAAACUUCUUUUAUACGGGAAUAAAGUGAGCCACGUGUGGCUUUUUGUAUGUACCGUAUGAAUAAGGAUCGGCUAACUCCGUGCCAGCAGCCGCGGUAAUACGGAGGAUUCGAGCGUUAUCCGGAUUUAUUGGGUUUAAAGGGAGCGUAGGCGGGUUGUUAAGUCAGUUGUGAAAGUUUGCGGCUCAACCGUAAAAUUGCAGUUGAUACUGGCGACCUUGAGUGCAACAGAGGUAGGCGGAAUUCGUGGUGUAGCGGUGAAAUGCUUAGAUAUCACGAAGAACUCCGAUUGCGAAGGCAGCUUACUGGAUUGUAACUGACGCUGAUGCUCGAA